rnacentral:rRNA from 1 species
UCUUGACGGUACCUAAUCAGAAAGCCACGGCUAACUACGUGCCAGCAGCCGCGGUAAUACGUAGGUGGCAAGCGUUAUCCGGAAUUAUUGGGCGUAAAGCGCGCGUAGGCGGUUUUUUAAGUCUGAUGUGAAAGCCCACGGCUCAACCGUGGAGGGUCAUUGGAAACUGGAAAACUUGAGUGCAGAAGAGGAAAGUGGAAUUCCAUGUGUAGCGGUGAAAUGCGCAGAGAUAUGGAGGAACACCAGUGGCGAAGGCGACUUUCUGGUCUGUAACUGACGCUGAUGUGCGAAAGCGUGGGGAUCAAACAGGAUUAGAUACCCUGGUAGUCCACGCCGUAAACGCUGAGUGCUAAGUGUUAGGGGGUUUCCGCCCCUUAGUGCUGCAGCUAACGCAUUAAGCACGCCGCCUGGGGAGUACGACCGCAAGGUUGAAACUCAAAGGAAUUGACGGGGACCCGCACAAGCGGUGGAGCAUGUGGUUUAAU